rnacentral:rRNA from 1 species
GCCGCCNUGGNGGCCGCGGGANUUCGAUUACGGCUCAGUAACACGUGGACAACCUACCCUUGGGUCUGGCAUAAUCCUGGGAAACUGGGGAUAAUUCCGGAUAGGCCACAGAUGCUGGAAUGCGCUGUGGCCGAAAGCUCCGGCGCCCAAGGAUGGGUCUGCGGCCUAUCAGGGUUGUAGUGGGUGUAAUGUACCUACUAGCCUACGACGGGUACGGGUUGUGAGAGCAAGAGCCCGGAGAUGGAUUCUGAGACACGAAUCCAGGCCCUACGGGGUGCAGCAGGCGCGAAAACUUUACAAUGCGGGAAACCGUGAUAAGGGAAUCUCGAGUGCCAGCAUAUAAUGUUGGCUGUCCAGAUGCCUAAAAAGCAUCUGUUAGCAAGGGCCGGGCAAGACCGGUGCCAGCCGCCGCGGUAACACCGGCGGCCCGAGUGGUAACCGCUAUUAUUGGGUCUAAAGGGUCUGUAGCCGGCCAGGUAAGUCCCUUGGGAAAUCUGGCAGCUCAACUGUCAGGCUGCUAGGGGAUACUGUUUGGCUUGGGACCGGGAGAGGUGAGAGGUACCUUGGGGGUAGGGGUGAAAUCUUGUGAUCCUCGGGGGACCACCAGUGGCGAAGGCGUCUCACCAGAACGGGUCCGACGGUAAGGGACGAAAGCUAGGGGCACGAACCGGAUUAGAUACCCGGGUAGUCCUAGCCGUAAACGAUGCUCGCUAGGUGUCAGUCACGGUGCGACCGUGAUUGGUGCCGUAGGGAAGCCGUGAAGCGAGCCACCUGGGAAGUAUGGCCGCAAGGCUGAAACUUAAAGGAAUUGGCGGGGGAGCACUACAACGGGUGGAGCCUGCGGUUUAAUUGGAUUCAACGCCGGAAAUCUCACCGGGGGCGACAGCGAUAUGNAAGGUCAGGCUGAAGACCUUACCGGAUUANCUGANAGGUGGUGCAUGGCCGUCGUCAGUUCGUACUGNGAAGCAUCCUGUUA